GCCGGGGCGCGGCACCGGUUUUGAAAGCGAGGCUGCUGGGACUACUGGUGUAGCAAAGGUCCCCCGGUUCCGAACCCUACGGCUCAGUCGACGCGGCCGGAGACCGGCGAAUUGCCAUGCAAUCUCCCGGCGGCGGCGGCGGCGGCGGCCGGGCCCUGAGUCCCACCACCCCGGGCUACAGAGACAGCUUUGCCCAAGAGGCCGAGGUCAUUGCCGAGCAGCUGCAAGGUCACGGGGGAGCAGAUGUAUCCACCAUCGAGGCUGAGCUCCUACCUCCAGACUUGACAUCCUCUGCUUCUUUUCUGGACCCAAUGCCCAGUGGCCAGGGCCAGGGCCAGGAGAGUGCUAGCCCACUUGCUCCCCCUCCAGACCCCGGGCAGGAACCUUCCCUGCUCUCCCCCAGUGCCCUGGACCUUCCCUUUCUCAAAGGGUCACCAGCCCUGGAGGAGGCUGCCAGUCCUGCUGAGCUGGGCAGAUGGCAGCUUAAUGUGACCAUGGAGCUCCCUAGCCCAGCUCCUGAUGCCUCACAGGCUGGUGAGCCUUUGGCCUUGGCCCCCCAAAGUCCACCAGGCCCCCAGGUAAGCACUGAGCUCAACCAGACCUGUCUGCUUAGCUCAGGUGCUCCUGCCCAAGAAGUGGCCCAGCCAGAGAGUGGCCCUGCCCUAGAAGAAAGAGCCCGCAGGGAUCUCCCUGAUGUGGAUGUGCCCGGCAAUAAGACUUUUUCAUUUAGCCCGGCCACUGCCUUUGUGACCUCCACACCACGGGGUGCCACCGCCGCAGCUUCAGGGGAGCUGAAACUGCUCCAGGGGGUUUCUGGCUUCUCUUUCCCAGAGAGCCCCCCAGCUCAAGAAGCACCCAGGAUGGCCCAGGCAGAGCAGCCCAGUGCCAGACGCCCCCAGGGGCCUCUGGCCUCUGCUGGCAACCUCCCCAAGGCCACCCCAAAAAGUGGCCCUUUGGGGAAGGUGGGCCAGGAAAAACGGUCCCUGGGUGGGGCCAUUCUAGCUGUGUCCAGGAGGGGGUAUCAGGGCCAUCCUUUGCCAGGGCAGAAGAGAUGGUCAGCCAUCCCCUACAAAGGCUCCCGCUUGCCUGUCCCGCUGAAGGGCAGGAACAGUGAGGCGGGCAGGAUGAAGGAAGCAGAGCCGACAGCCAAAGCAGGGAAUAGCCCCCCCCCAGCAGCCAAGGUAGCUCAAAGAGGUUCCAGUGCUCGAGACCCCAAGUCCAGGGAUCCCCAGGCAGCUCGAAUUUCAAGGACUUUGGUCCCUACCCAGGGUGCCCAUUCCAGAGCCCCCUCUAAGACAGUUCUAGAUGUGCAGCCCCCCCAGCAGGACAGGAAGCUCCAACCUUCUCCGGGGCCCUCAUGCCCCCAGUGCCUUGUGCUGCAGAAGCAAGUAGAGGACCUCAAAAGCCAGCUAGGUACGGAGGGCGGGUGGCCCAGUUGCCCAACUUCCUUCCCUAGCUGUUUCCAUGAGAAAACAAACCUUCCUGGUAAUAGGCUCAUGUCAUGGAACUGGGGGCGAGGGGGGCACUGCACUGAGAGGUUAGACCCUUGUUUCUGUCUGGGUCACACAGAGCACAAUUGA
rnacentral:lncRNA from 1 species